rnacentral:lncRNA from 1 species
CAGCAAGGGGCAGGGGCAGAGAGACACUCAUCUACUACUGAGGUCCAGAAGACAUUACCAAGACAACCAGGUAUCAUUCAGUCAGCAUAUUCCAACUAUCAGAGUAAAGGAUGAAGAUCCAGAGUGUGUUGCUGCUGUUUUCUCUAGUGGGUGUCCUGUUAGCAAGCUCCCUCAAUGAAGAUAACUCUAAGGAAGCUCUUCCGGAGGAGGACAAUCUAAAAGGGGAAUAGGCGGCCUUGGAAAAGUUGUUUGGUGAUCUGAAAGCUGAUGGGGUUUCUCAGAAGUCUUUUGAGGAUGCAGAAGAUGAAGCAGCAUCUCUUCUGGAGGAGGACAAUCUAAAAGGUGGAAAUGCAGGCUUGGAAAAGUUGUUGGCUGCUCUGAAAGCGGGUGGGGUUUCUCCAAAGACUGCUGGGAGUGGUGAAGAUGAGGCAGCAUGUGAGCUAUCUAUAGUUGAAGUCGGAAGUUUACAUACAUCUUAGCCAAAUACAUUUAAACUCAGUUUUUCACAAUUCCUGACAUUUAAUCCUAGUACAAAUUCCCUGUCUUAGGUCAGUUGGGAUCACCACUUUAUUUUAAGAAUGUGAAAUGUCAGAAUAAUAGUAGAGAGAAUGAUUUAUUUCAGCUUUUAUUUCUUUCAUCACAUUCCCAGUGGGUCAGAAGUUCCGGGUAGCCUUCCA